UACGAAGGGGGCUAGCGUUGCUCGGAAUGGCUGGGCGUAAAGGGCGCGUAGGCGGUUUGUACAGUCAGAUGUGAAAUUCCUGGGCUUAACCUGGGGGCUGCAUUUGAUACGUGCAGACUUGAGUGAGGAAGAGGGUUGUGGAAUUCCCAGUGUAGAGGUGAAAUUCGUAGAUAUUGGGAAGAACACCGGUGGCGAAGGCGGCAACCUGGUCCUUGACUGACGCUGAGGCGCGAAAGCGUGGGGAGCAAACAGG
rnacentral:rRNA from 1 species